rnacentral:rRNA from 1 species
AUUGAACGCUGGCGGCAUGCCUUACACAUGCAAGUCGAACGGCAGCGGGGGAGAAGCUUGCUUUUCCUGCCGGCGAGUGGCGAACGGGUGAGUAAUACAUCGGAACGUGCCCUGUAGUGGGGGAUAACUAGUCGAAAGAUUAGCUAAUACCGCAUACGACCUGAGGGUGAAAGUGGGGGACCGCAAGGCCUCAUGCUAUAGGAGCGGCCGAUGUCUGAUUAGCUAGUUGGUGGGGUAAAGGCCUACCAAGGCGACGAUCAGUAGCUGGUCUGAGAGGGCGAUCGGCCAGACUGGGACUGAGACACGGCCCAGACUCCUACGGGAGGCAGCAGUUGGGAAUGUUGGACAAUGGGCGAAAGCCUGAUCCAGCAAUGCCGCGUGUGAAGAAGGCCUUCGGGUUGUAAAGCACUUUUGUCCGGAAAGAAAUGGCUCUGGUUAAUACCUGGGGUCGAUGACGGUACCGGAAGAAUAAGGACCGGCUAACUACGUGCCAGCCGCCGCCGUAA